UACGGGGGGGGUAAGCGUUGUUCGGAAUUACUGGGCGUAAAGGGCUCGUAGGCGGCCAACUAAGUCAGACGUGAAAUCCCUCAGCUUAACUGGGGAACUGCGUCUGAUACUGGAUGGCUUGGAUUCGGGAGAGGAAUGCGGAAUUCCAGGUGUAGCGGUGAAAUGCGUAGAUAUCGUAAGGAAGACCAGUGGCGAAGGCGGGUCUCUGGACAGUUCCUGACGCUGAGGCACGAAGGUCAGGGGAGGACAAACCGGGG
rnacentral:rRNA from 1 species